rnacentral:rRNA from 1 species
GGUUAAGCGACUAAGCGUACACGGUGGAUGCCCUGGCAGUCAGAGGCGAUGAAGGACGUGCUAAUCUGCGAUAAGCGUCGGUAAGGUGAUAUGAACCGUUAUAACCGGCGAUUUCCGAAUGGGGAAACCCAGUGUGUUUCGACACACUAUCAUUAACUGAAUCCAUAGGUUAAUGAGGCGAACCGGGGGAACUGAAACAUCUAAGUACCCCGAGGAAAAGAAAUCAACCGAGAUUCCCCCAGUAGCGGCGAGCGAACGGGGAGCAGCCCAGAGCCUGAAUCAGUGUGUGUGUUAGUGGAAGCGUCUGGAAAGGCGCGCGAUACAGGGUGACAGCCCCGUACACAAAAAUGCACAUGCUGUGAGCUCGAUGAGUAGGGCGGGACACGUGGUAUCCUGUCUGAAUAUGGGGGGACCAUCCUCCAAGGCUAAAUACUCCUGACUGACCGAUAGUGAACCAGUACCGUGAGGGAAAGGCGAAAAGAACCCCGGCGAGGGGAGUGAAAAAGAACCUGAAACCGUGUACGUACAAGCAGUGGGAGCACGCUUAGGCGUGUGACUGCGUACCUUUUGUAUAAUGGGUCAGCGACUUAUAUUCUGUAGCAAGGUUAACCGAAUAGGGGAGCCGAAGGGAAACCGAGUCUUAACUGGGCGUUAAGUUGCAGGGUAUAGACCCGAAACCCGGUGAUCUAGCCAUGGGCAGGUUGAAGGUUGGGUAACACUAACUGGAGGACCGAACCGACUAAUGUUGAAAAAUUAGCGGAUGACUUGUGGCUGGGGGUGAAAGGCCAAUCAAACCGGGAGAUAGCUGGUUCUCCCCGAAAGCUAUUUAGGUAGCGCCUCGUGAAUUCAUCUCCGGGGGUAGAGCACUGUUUCGGCAAGGGGGUCAUCCCGACUUACCAACCCGAUGCAAACUGCGAAUACCGGAGAAUGUUAUCACGGGAGACACACGGCGGGUGCUAACGUCCGUCGUGAAGAGGGAAACAACCCAGACCGCCAGCUAAGGUCCCAAAGUCAUGGUUAAGUGGGAAACGAUGUGGGAAGGCCCAGACAGCCAGGAUGUUGGCUUAGAAGCAGCCAUCAUUUAAAGAAAGCGUAAUAGCUCACUGGUCGAGUCGGCCUGCGCGGAAGAUGUAACGGGGCUAAACCAUGCACCGAAGCUGCGGCAGCGACGCUGAUGCGUUGUUGGGUAGGGGAGCGUUCUGUAAGCCUGCGAAGGUGUGCUGUGAGGCAUGCUGGAGGUAUCAGAAGUGCGAAUGCUGACAUAAGUAACGAUAAAGCGGGUGAAAAGCCCGCUCGCCGGAAGACCAAGGGUUCCUGUCCAACGUUAAUCGGGGCAGGGUGAGUCGACCCCUAAGGCGAGGCCGAAAGGCGUAGUCGAUGGGAAACAGGUUAAUAUUCCUGUACUUGGUGUUACUGCGAAGGGGGGACGGAGAAGGCUAUGUUGGCCGGGCGACGGUUGUCCCGGUUUAAGCGUGUAGGCUGGUUUUCCAGGCAAAUCCGGAAAACUAAGGCUGAGGCGUGAUGACGAGGCACUACGGUGCUGAAGCAACAAAUGCCCUGCUUCCAGGAAAAGCCUCUAAGCAUCAGGUAACAUCAAAUCGUACCCCAAACCGACACAGGUGGUCAGGUAGAGAAUACCAAGGCGCUUGAGAGAACUCGGGUGAAGGAACUAGGCAAAAUGGUGCCGUAACUUCGGGAGAAGGCACGCUGAUAUGUAGGUGAAGUCCCUCGCGGAUGGAGCUGAAAUCAGUCGAAGAUACCAGCUGGCUGCAACUGUUUAUUAAAAACACAGCACUGUGCAAACACGAAAGUGGACGUAUACGGUGUGACGCCUGCCCGGUGCCGGAAGGUUAAUUGAUGGGGUUAGCGCAAGCGAAGCUCUUGAUCGAAGCCCCGGUAAACGGCGGCCGUAACUAUAACGGUCCUAAGGUAGCGAAAUUCCUUGUCGGGUAAGUUCCGACCUGCACGAAUGGCGUAAUGAUGGCCAGGCUGUCUCCACCCGAGACUCAGUGAAAUUGAACUCGCUGUGAAGAUGCAGUGUACCCGCGGCAAGACGGAAAGACCCCGUGAACCUUUACUAUAGCUUGACACUGAACAUUGAGCCUUGAUGUGUAGGAUAGGUGGGAGGCUUUGAAGUGUGGACGCCAGUCUGCAUGGAGCCGACCUUGAAAUACCACCCUUUAAUGUUUGAUGUUCUAACGUUGACCCGUAAUCCGGGUUGCGGACAGUGUCUGGUGGGUAGUUUGACUGGGGCGGUCUCCUCCUAAAGAGUAACGGAGGAGCACGAAGGUUGGCUAAUCCUGGUCGGACAUCAGGAGGUUAGUGCAAUGGCAUAAGCCAGCUUGACUGCGAGCGUGACGGCGCGAGCAGGUGCGAAAGCAGGUCAUAGUGAUCCGGUGGUUCUGAAUGGAAGGGCCAUCGCUCAACGGAUAAAAGGUACUCCGGGGAUAACAGGCUGAUACCGCCCAAGAGUUCAUAUCGACGGCGGUGUUUGGCACCUCGAUGUCGGCUCAUCACAUCCUGGGGCUGAAGUAGGUCCCAAGGGUAUGGCUGUUCGCCAUUUAAAGUGGUACGCGAGCUGGGUUUAGAACGUCGUGAGACAGUUCGGUCCCUAUCUGCCGUGGGCGCUGGAGAACUGAGGGGGGCUGCUCCUAGUACGAGAGGACCGGAGUGGACGCAUCACUGGUGUUCGGGUUGUCAUGCCAAUGGCACUGCCCGGUAGCUAAAUGCGGAAGAGAUAAGUGCUGAAAGCAUCUAAGCACGAAACUUGCCCCGAGAUGAGUUCUCCCUGACUCCUUGAGAGUCCUGAAGGAACGUUGAAGACGACGACGUUGAUAGGCCGGGUGUGUAAGCGCAGCGAUGCGUUGAGCUAACCGGUACUAAUGAACCGUGAGGCUUAACCUU